rnacentral:misc_RNA from 1 species
GAUGAAGAACGUAGCGAAAUGCGAUAAGUAAUGUGAAUUGCAGAAUUCAGUGAAUCAUCGAAUCUUUGAACGCACCUUGCGCCCUUUGGCUAUUCCGAAGGGCAUGCCUGUUUGAGUAUCAUGAACACCUCAACUCUCAUGGCUUGCCAUGAUGAGCUUGGACUUUUGGGGGUCUUGCUGGCCUGUGGUCAGCUCCUCUCAAAUGAAUUAGCCUGCCAGUGUUUGGUGGCAUCACAGGUGUGAUAACUAUCUACGCUUGUGGUUUUCCACCAGGUAACCUUCAGUGAUGAAGGUUCGCUGGGGCUCAUAAACGGCUCUCCUCAGUGAGGACAGCUCUUUGAACGUUUGAUCUCAAAUCAGGUAGGACUACCCGCUGAACUUAAGCAUAUCAAUAAGCGGAGGA